CAUCAGAUGACUGAAAGUAAGUAAUGGUCUCUUAAACCAGUUUAUGGUAUCCUAACGAGUAUCUCUGAUGA
rnacentral:tRNA from 1 species